rnacentral:tRNA from 1 species
GGCUUGUAGCUCAAUGGUACAGCACUUGCCUAGCAUGUAUGAGGUACUGAGUUUGAUCCUCAGCACCA